UUGAGCCAUGUGCUGAGAAACUCGCACGCACGGUUCUUAGGGGGGGGCGGGUAACUGCGCCUGACUACCCGAC
rnacentral:ncRNA from 1 species